rnacentral:rRNA from 1 species
CCUACGGGAGGCAGCAGUGGGGAAUAUUGGACAAUGGGCGCAAGCCUGAUCCAGCAAUACCGCGUGAGUGAUGAAGGUCUUCGGAUUGUAAAGCUCUUUUAAGUGGAGAAGAUAAUGACGGUAUCCACAGAAAAAGCACCGGCAAACUUCGUGCCAGCAGCCGCGGUAAUACGAAGGGUGCUAGCGUUGUUCGGAAUCAUUGGGCGUAAAGCGUACGUAGGCGGUUUAGUAAGUCGAUUGUGAAAUACCCGAGCUCAACUUGGGAACUUGCAAUCGAAACUGCUUUGCUAGAGUUUAGUGGGGGAUAGUGGAAUUCCUAGUGUAGGGGUGAAAUCCGUAGAUAUUAGGAGGAACAUCAGUGGCGAAGGCGACUAUCUACGCUAAUACUGACGCUAAGGUACGAAAGCGUGGGGAGCAAACAGGAUUAGAUACCCUGGUAAGUCCACGGCAGUAAACGAUGAGUGCCUAGUUGUCGGGGUCUUAGACUUCGGUGGCGAAGCUAACGCGUUUAAGCACUCCGCCUGGGGACUACGGUCGCAAGACUAAAACUCAAAGUGAAUUGACGGNNGAGACGAGACGAGACGACGACGAGGAGUAGG